CUGCGGGGAUGCAAUUGGAUGCAGACAGUCCCUCCUUCGGGAGGAAGGCCAGUAGUGGGGUGCCAUGGGGAGUCUGGAGAGGGGCUGAAGCUGUUGGGGAGGCGAUAGGGGAAGCCCCCGGGAGCCCUGGUGGGAAAUGAGGUCGCGCUGCUGGCUGCGUGUCAUCCCUACAUGCUCCUGCCAGCUGCGGCUGCUCCUGCCAUCCCUCCCUCCCUCCCACCCCGUGCCUGUCGCCUCUCACUGUCACCCUGCUCUCUCGGAAAGGGGUCCCUUCUCCCUGGCACUGCUUGACUGGGAAAGGAGCCUGACUCAUCCUGGCCAGGCCCCAGCAGAUGCCGGAGGGAGCAGCUUCAUUCCAUCGCCCUGCACUGGUGGAAGAAGGGCUGCACUGCUCCAGACUCAGCAUCUCCACCUCGCAUCUGUGUGGCAAGGGGCUCCUAUCGAGGCAGGUCGUCUGGUCCCGCCAUGCCCCACUUCUUGGACUGGUUUGUGCCAGUGUAUCUGAUGAUCUCCAUUCUCAUCCUGGUGGGCUUUGGAGCCUGCAUUUACUACUUCGAGCCAGGACUCCAGGAAGCCCAUAAGUGGCGAACGCAGAGGCCGAUCAUGGAACGAGACCUUCGGAAGACACUGAUGAUUCGUGACAACCUGGCCUUUGGGGUGCCCGAGGUCUGACACACUGCCCAUUGAAUACAGAAGAGCCUCUCCUGGAUGGGCAGCAGUCCACAAGCCUUGGUAGGGAUGACAGUCCUGCCCUGUGCAAGCAGGGAUGAUCAUCACUUUUUUCUGAUCUGGGUCUCAUACUCACCACUCACUUUUCUGCCCCUUUGCUUCUUAGGCACGGUUUGUGUGGCACUGUAGACUUGGGGCUUCCCAUGUGCUUACAGCCCUUCACCCAGCCAAGGACUUCUGCUCUUCCCCAUGGCUGAGAAUGAUGAAUCACUCAAAUGAAAGGUCCCUUGUUAAUCACUUGAGUUUGAGUUGCCUGGCAUCUUGACAUGACCUUCAGUAGGAAAGGUACCAGGCUUGCAAAAGGGAUAUAGAGCCUUUUACUCCUAUUCACCAGGUUAAAUCUAACAAAGUCCGUUUAAGUCCAGGGGGUAUUUUGAGGGAAAUAAAUGGGAUUUCAACCCAGAUUGUUGCUUCAGCUGAGCUCUUCACAGCACCCACACUUGGUGCUGGGAUGGUAAGCUUGCUGAAGCUCUGUGCAGAGAGGCCAAGGGCUCAGUGAGCCCCAGAGACUGAGACAUUCUCACCCAUCCAUCCAUUCCAGAUGCACUACAUUCAAAUUAAAGAUCUUUACUAAAGAGGUUUGUCCAAAUCCUGUGUCAAGCUGAGAAAAUUCUGCAUCUCUCCAUGAAGUGGUGCUGCCAGACUUAGCACAUAAGCCUCUCCUGAUAUGCCUGACCUUCUGCUCCUCUGCUGCAGGGUGAGAUAGGAUAGUCUGGGAGGUAGUCUGCACUUGUUCAGUUCCCUGCACUCCAGAGUCCUAUGGUGUGGAUGAGCUUUCCCUUAACUGCCAUCCCAACGAAAGUUGUGAAGCAUCCCUUGACCCCGUUUCCCUGCGUGUCUCUGAGAAGGGACACUGAGCCUGUCAGCAAUUUCACCCAUUGCACCACCCAAGGACCCAAGCUGUAUAAUGUGCAUCUGGCACAAAAUCCCAUGUGUAUAGACUAUCUGCAUGUUUUACACUGCCCUGGGGCUGAUCAGCUACCAAAGUGCUGUGUGAAGGAGUGAUGCUGGGACUAAGAGAGACAUUCACAUCUCCCUCCCUGCCAGCCCAGUGCAAUGCUCAGUGUGUACAGGGAGGCUCUGGGGGAGCUCUGAACCCGUGGAAGGAGGUUUCAUCAGGAACCUCUCCCCAUCUCUUCUCCCAUCCCAACACCUCCCCAUUGGAUGCAGUAGGUGCAUCAGGGCUACCUGUGAGCACUCUGGACACAGCAGGGUCCUGUAUGCCCUACUCCUGCACAUCCCAGGAGAUGUCAGCUGGUGCCACCACCCCCCGUGCACAUGUCUGUGCAUCCCGUGCCAUCACCUGGGCCUGCUAGUAUCAGGGUGACCCACAUCCCCAGCAUGUUCCUGGGGUGCCAGCUCUGUGCCAUAGUCCCUGAUAGCUCCUUUGGGCCCUCGGGAUGGCUGCCCAAAUCCGCCACAGAUCCUGGAUGGGCUCAUGUUACUCAGCUUCUCCUGUGAUUCUGUCAGUGGAAGAUUUCUUCUUCAUUCCCAAACAAAGGAGGAGAGUGCACUGGGCUGGUUUGAGUGAGUGAUGCUCCACUGGUAAUUCUCUGGGAGUGAAAGUUAAUUUUUAGCUCUAUGGAUUUUGGCUGAGGAAAGAAUGGGUCAGGACAUCCUGCAAAUAUCCCAGGUCUUUCUGGGACAUUUGAUCCAUCAGACUGCAAUCAUACCACCAUUAUUUUCCACACCAAAACCAGGCACACUGGCAGGAGCUUUCUGGCUCUGUUUCAGCCAGAGAACAAGUCAAGAGUCCCUUCAUUCAGACAAAAACCAGAUCCUGAUGUGAGUACCCUAACUGGAGAUGCAGUGAGUGGGAUUACUCCUGUGCCCAAAGUUAUGCUUGCAUGGGCAAGCAACGGCUCAAAGUGCGGAUGCAGCCUGAAACAGGUAAAUCCCACGUAUUUUUGCGCCUUGGUGAUGGGGCUGUGUAAGGAAAAUGUUGUGGGGCUGGGCUUCAUGGUCUGGUGUGACACCCUCAGCUGCAUGGCUCACAUCCUUCUGCCCUCUGGUACAACGCAGCCAAGUUUCCAAGUGCUAGGAAACCUGCUUCCUUACCUCGGCUGCCUCAUAGCUGGGUCUGCACUGCAAACGGACCCCAGCUGAGCCAUGGGGGAGCAAUAAAAACCUCUGUAUUGAAGCUGAGGAGCUUGGAGCAGUCAGGGAUAGGUUCAACCAUCCCUAUGGGAAAUGGGGGCCUGGUCCCUGCGGCCUGCAUCAGCACAGGCUGCUCUGCCAUUGCACCUCCUUCAAACCCACUUUUGCCUGCUGAGUCAAAAGAGAAGAGGGAAAACCACCAGCCUGGUAAAAAUGAAAGGCUGAGUUUGCCACCACUGCUCUCAGCUGGCAUCCGUGGUGCGAUGGGGAUCCCCUUGUCCCCUCAUCUGUGUCCUCCUCUGCCUCUGUCCUGUCUGUUUUCACCUCCACUCUGCCCAUGACUUGCUGCAGCAACCGAGCAAAAAGAAGACAACAAACAGGUCAGGGGUGGACCAGAGAGAAACCAGUUAUUCAUCCUCUCUGGCUUAUGUUUCAUGCUGUUUAGUCCUGAUACAAUCAGUAUUAAGCCAGUUAUUUUCCAUGGGUAUGAAGGACUUUAUUGCCAAUGGUAUCAAAGCCCUCCCCAGUGGAACAGAAGUGUGUGACCAACUGCAUGGCUGAUGCUUUAUUUUCCUGUUGGUCCCCCUUGGAGCUGCCUUCCUCCAGCUCUGGGCAGGCAGCAAGGACCAGUCUGCAAUGAGGUUUCCUUUACAGCGGGGUAGGUCUUCAUCUGCCCGGUUUCUGUGAUGGCUACACUGAGGGGCUAUCUGGGAAUAAUUAAGCCAAAGGCAAACGCUGGCUGAAAACUGAGACUUUCUCCCCUGUGGGACCUGUGCAGCCAGAGAGACCUCAGGGGAGAGGGAAAUAGUCACAGAUACUGAAUUAAACUGUUUAAAGCACCAGAGAAGAUACUUAGUGCUGGAAAUACUGCACUGCAUCAGGCUGGUCUUUUCCACCUUCUCUGUCUCUUUGCCUUUAAAGAAGCAGAGAAUUUACACUGCCCUGAGCCCUGUCUUCCCCCAGCACUCCCUAUGGGUCAC